AACGAACGCUGGCGGCAUGCCUAACACAUGCAAGUCGAACGAGACCUUCGGGUCUAGUGGCGCACGGGUGCGUAACGCGUGGGAAUCUGCCCUUGGGUUCGGAAUAACAGUGAGAAAUUACUGCUAAUACCGGAUGAUGUCUUCGGACCAAAGAUUUAUCGCCCAGGGAUGAGCCCGCGUAGGAUUAGCUAGUUGGUGGGGUAAUGGCCUACCAAGGCGACGAUCCUUAGCUGGUCUGAGAGGAUGAUCAGCCACACUGGGACUGAGACACGGCCCAGACUCCUACGGGAGGCAGCAGUGGGGAAUAUUGGACAAUGGGCGCAAGCCUGAUCCAGCAAUGCUGCGUGAGUGAUGAAGGCCUUAGGGUUGUAAAGCUCUUUUACCCGGGAUGAUAAUGACAGUACCGGGAGAAUAAGCUCCGGCUAACUCCGUG
rnacentral:rRNA from 1 species